CAAACUCAGUCAUGUCUUUCCUUGCACAAUUUCAACUUAAGGCAAAACUGAUUUAUCCUCUUGAGAGCUCUUCCAUGCCACUCAUUCACGCUCUUCUUUCCAAGCCUAUUAAAUCCUCAUUUUCACCUCCAAACCCCAAAGUAUCUUUCUGACUGCCCUUAUUCUCCUAUUUCCAGAUCUCUGACCCAUUACCAUUUUUUUUUUCUUUUUAAAAAAUUAUUCUCCAAAUAAAUCUCUCUUCUUCUCCCAAAUCUGCAAAUCCAUCUCUCUCUAAAGAAAUCCUCUUUUGGCAUCCAUUUUUUUCCAGCCACUUAGAACUCACUGCUUUCAGUUUUCUUUCCCCCACCUUGUCUUUCAGGAGCACUGCAGUCCAUUUGGUGCCCUUUGAUCCUUACCACAGCUUUUCUUGUGAGUGACAGCUGCCAGCUCCUGUCACAUCUUUUGCAUUCUGCCUUCUGCUCAUCUAAUUUCUUUGGAACCAAUUGCAAGAAUUGUGUGAAUUCAUGCCAGCCACAUAGCAAAGCAUUCUUCUCAAUCAUUGUACUGACCCUGUGGGUGACUUUUUGUCCUGUACAGUCAGAACUAGGUCAACAGAGGUGCUUCAGGUGCCUAAACUCCUGCUGGAAUGGUUUUACAAAUUAACGCAUUUUAAAAGGAGUUUAGAUGCUUAAAGUACCUUUGUGGCAAAAAUGCUGAGUUCUUUCCCUUCAGCUCAGGCAAGGUGAUACCUCAUUCCAGGGAAGCCAUUCUUUCCAGGCAGCACAAUUAAACCUGUCUCCAAUCCUACUCCACAUUUUAAACUAUGCAAAAAUUUAUUUUCACUACGUGGUUCUACUGGACAUUAUCAGGUUUCAGUGGUGGCAGAAUUUAAGCAUACCCGGCUCUCUUGUCUCUGUGGUGCUGAUGGAGUUCUCUUACGCUUUCCUAGGAAGAAGAAAAAAAAAAGGGAUGUUUCAAUCAAUCAGCAUUGAGAAGAUGCCUUUCUGCUCACAGAGGCGUAUAGAUUACCAAAGCAGCCCUUGCUUUAUUGAGUGCUCCCCAAAGAAUAAAAAUCUGUCUCCAAACUAUAUUUAGGGAUUGUUUCACUGCCAAAAGCACCAAGAGACAGGAUAGAAGCAUGAAGGUGGUAAUUAACCACAUAGCUGAUUUUGGACUGUUACUAUGCUACCAGAAAAACAUGCUGGGAGAAGCCAUCAUCCACCGUGAAUGAGUUUUCUUGUAUAAGGAAUCCACUUGUUUAUGAGACUCACUUUAAACAAUAACAGAAUCACAAAAUCACAGAGUUGUAGGAGUUGGAAAGGACCUCUAGAAAUCAUCGAGUCCAACCUCUUCUGCUAAAGGAGUUCCCUGCAGCAGGUCACACAGGAAAGUGUCCAGGUUGGUUUUGAAUAUCUCCAGAGGAGACUCCACAACAUCUCUGGGCAGCCUGCUCCAAUGCUCUGCCACCCUCACAAUAAAGAAGUUCUUCCUCAUGUACGUAUGGAACUUCCUGUGUUCCAGUUUGUGCCUAUUUCUGUUGUCCUGUCACUGGGCUCUGCUGAAAGAGUCUGGCCACAUCCACUUGACUCCUGCCCUUUAGAUAUUUAUCAACAAUGAUGAGAUCCCUCUCAGUCUUCUCCAGAGGGAAUAGUCUCUCAGCCUUUCUUCAUAAGGGAGAUGCUCCAGGCCCCUAAUACUCUUUCUGGCCUUUCACUGGACUCUCUCAAGAAGAUCCUGUCUUUCUUGAGUGAGGAGCCCAGAACUGGAUGCAUACAGAGUGGCCUCACUGGGGCAAAGUAGCUGGGGAGGACCUCUUCCCUCAACCUGUUGUCCACACUUUUCAAUGAAACCCAACUUUUAGAGUCCAACUGGUCCCAGUAUUGUUCUGGUAAUGAGGAAGAGCUCCAGAGUGAAAAUGUUGGACUCUGAUUAUGCUUUGCUGUCAUUCAGCAGCACUCAUCCUUCCACCUCUGUCUUGAACAACUGUGUGACUGGUCUUUCCUUGCAGUAAUGAACUAGACAGUGUAUAACCAAGUAGUUAGCAAUACAGAUUUUGUUCUCAGAGUUUUUUUGAACUUUAGUUUCAACUAGACAAUCACUGGCACCAAAUCCAAGAAAAGAAAAACAUGAGAAAAAUCGUGAUGUGUGGGGAUUGGUUAUAUAUUCAUAAAGCCACUAAUCAGUUUCUUUUCUCUCUCAUUUUUGUUAGGCUUUCUUUGUCUACUUUCAGGUCUUAUCUCCAUAUGAACACUGAUAGCAGAUAAAUCAAGACAACAGCUUCCUUCAUUUUUAGGAGUUUUGUUAAAAUUGACUUUCUCCCUCUGACAUGAAUAUCAGUUUAUAUCUCAAUCAAAUCUGGAAUUGUAGUUUAGAGAGAAAAUACAUAAAAUAUGUGUAGAAGAUUUUCCUAUGUCAUCCUUCUCACAGACACUUUCUGUUACUUUUAGAUUUAUUUCAGAUUAUUGUUUACUACGCAAUCAUUAAUAAUUUACAGAAGUAAAGGCUUUUGUUUGGUAGUGAUUUGUUAUAACUGGAAUAAUGAAAAUAAUUAUAUGUAUCUUAUCUCCAGUUCUUCAGUUUUGUAAAGUUCUGCUAAACUCAAGUGUUCAAGCUGUAAUAUAUCUCUUCUACUUUGGGUCUUACCAUUGAAUGACCUGACCUUUUAAUAAAGAUUUUUGUUUCCUAUGGUGCUUGAUUUCUUUGGCUAAGUAAUAAAAAGUGUGUGACACUUAAGAGCUUCCUACUUCCCUACUCUCUCUUAUAGUAGAGUGCUUAUGUAAUGAAGAGUGAUUGCUUGCAAGUCCAGAGAA
ensembl:lncRNA